AACGAACGCUGGCGGCAUGCCUAACACAUGCGAGUCGAACGAAGCCUUCGGGCUUAGUGGCGCACGGGUGCGUAACGCGUGGGAAUCUGCCCUUUGGUUCGGAAUAACAGUUGGAAACGACUGCUAAUACCGGAUGAUGACGAAAGUCCAAAGAUUUAUCGCCAGGGGAUGAGCCCGCGUAGGAUUAGCUAGUUGGUGUGGUAAAGGCGCACCAAGGCGACGAUCCUUAGCUGGUCUGAGAGGAUGAUCAGCCACACUGGGACUGAGACACGGCCCAGACUCCUACGGGAGGCAGCAGUGGGGAAUAUUGGACAAUGGGCGAAAGCCUGAUCCAGCAAUGCCGCGUGAGUGAUGAAGGCCCUAGGGUUGUAAAGCUCUUUUACCCGGGAUGAUAAUGACAGUACCGGGAGAAUAAGCCCCGGCUAACUCCGUGCCAGCAGCCGCCGUAA
rnacentral:rRNA from 1 species